rnacentral:rRNA from 1 species
CAGCCGCCGCGGGAAUACGAAGGGUGCAAGCGUUACUCGGAAUUACUGGGCGUAAAGCGUGUGUAGGUGGUUGUUUAAGUCUGUCGUGAAAGCCCUGGGCUCAACCUGGGAAUUGCGAUGGAUACUGGGCGACUAGAGUGCGGUAGAGGAUAGUGGAAUUUCCGGUGUAGUAGUGAAAUGCGUAGAGAUCGGAAGGAACAUCUGCGGCGAAGGCGACUAUCUGGGCCAACACUGACACUGAGACACGAAAGCGUGGGGAGCAAACAGGAUUAGAUACCCGCGUAGUCCCUGUCUCUUAUAC